rnacentral:rRNA from 1 species
GACGAACGCUGGCGGCGUGCUUAACACAUGCAAGUCGAACGGAAAGGCCCUGCUUUUGUGGGGUGCUCGAGUGGCGAACGGGUGAGUAACACGUGAGUAACCUGCCCUUGACUUUGGGAUAAUUUCAGGAAACUGGGGCUAAUACCGCAUAGGAGCUCCUGCUGCAUGGUGGGGGUUGGAAAGUUUCUGCGGUUGGGGAUGUACUCGCGGCUUAUCAGCUUGUUGGUGGGGUAGUGGCUUACCAAGGCUUUGACGGGUAGCCGGCCUGAGAGGGUGACCGGCAACAUUGGGACUAAGAUACGGCCCAGACUCCUACGGGAGGCAGCAGUGGGGAGUAUUGCACAAUGGGCGGAAGCCGGAUGAAGCAACGACGCGUGCGGGAUGACGGACUUCGGGGUGUAAACCGCUUUAGCCUGUGACGAAGCGAGAGUGACGGUAAUGGGUAAAGAAGCACCGGCUAACUACGUG